rnacentral:misc_RNA from 1 species
GAUGAAGAACGUAGCGAAAUGCGAUACUUGGUGUGAAUUGCAGAAUCCCGUGAACCAUCGAGUCUUUGAACGCAAGUUGCGCCCGAAGCCGUCAGGCCGAGGGCACGCCUGCCUGGGCGUCACACGCCGUUGCCCCCCCGCGCCCCGCACCCAACUCUUUGGGAGCGACCGCGGGGCGGGCUGAUGAUGGCCUCCCGUGCGCUCCGCCGCGCGGUUGGCCCAAAUACCGAGUCCCCGGCGACGUGCGCCACGACGAUCGGUGGUUGAGAGACCUCUGUCGCAAGUCGUGCGCGCCCGUCGCGUCACGCGGGCUCGCAUAGCGCCUCGCGCCGCACCCGGUGCGGAGCUUUCAACGCGACCCCAGGUCAGGCGGGGUUACCCACUGAAUUUAAGCAUAUCAAUAAGCGGAGGA